CGCAGCCGCGGUAAUUCCAGCUCCAAUAGCGUAUAUUAAAGUUGUUGCAGUUAAAAAGCUCGUAGUUGAAUUUCGGGAUUGACGUGAUGGUCGUGCCUUACGGGGUAUGAACUGUCGCAGUUGAUUCUCACCUUCUGGAGAAGCUCGAUGUCCUUAAUUGGGUGUCUUGCGGAACCAGGACCUUUACCUUGAAAAAAUUAGAGUGUUUAAAGCAGGCAUUUUGCUCGAAUACAUUAGCAUGGAAUAAUAGAAUAGGACGGCAUGGUUCUAUUUUGUUGGUUUCUAGUAUCACCGUAAUGAUUAAUAGGGAUAGUUGGGGGCAUUAGUAUUCAAUUGUCAGAGGUGAAAUUCUUGGAUUUAUUGAAGACUAACUACUGCGAAAGCAUUUGCCAAGGAUGUUUUCAUUAAUCAAGAACGAAAGUUAGGGGAUCGAAGACGAUCAGAUACCGUCGUAGUCUUAACCAUAAACUAUGCCGACUAGGGAUCGGAUGAUGUUAAUUUUUUAAUGACUCAUUCGGCGCCUUACG
rnacentral:rRNA from 1 species